rfam:Ipomoea nil DNA, scaffold: scaffold0202, cultivar: Tokyo-kokei standard.
AUUUGAUGGUGUGGGCAACUUGCACAAAGCAUUUUGAAACGCUCCCAAUAUUCAUAUAAAGACUCUCCAUUGUUUUGCCUAAUACCACAGAUUUCCUUUCUAAUGUU